rnacentral:rRNA from 1 species
UGGGGAAUAUUGCACAAUGGGCGCAAGCCUGAUGCAGCCAUGCCGCGUGUGUGAAGAAGGCCUUCGGUUGUAAAGCACUUUCAGCGAGGAGGAAGGUGGUGAACUUAAUACGUUCAUCAAUUGACGUUACUCGCAGAAGAAGCACCGGCUAACUCCGUGCCAGCAGCCGCGGUAAUACGGAGGGUGCAAGCGUUAAUCGGAAUUACUGGGCGUAAAGCGCACGCAGGCGGUUUGUUAAGUCAGAUGUGAAAUCCCCGGGCUCAACCUGGGAACUGCAUUUGAAACUGGCAAGCUAGAGUCUCGUAGAGGGGGGUAGAAUUCCAGGUGUAGCGGUGAAAUGCGUAGAGAUCUGGAGGAAUACCGGUGGCGAAGGCGGCCCCCUGGACGAAGACUGACGCUCAGGUGCGAAAGCGUGGGGAGCAAACAGAUUAGAUACCCUGGUAGUCCACGCUGUAAACGAUGUCGAUUUUGGAGGUUGUGCCCUUGAGGCGUGGCUUCCGGAGCUAACGCGUUAAAUCGACCGCCUGGGGAGUACGGCCGCAAGGUU